GGUGAAACCCCACGGCUCAACCGUGGACUUGCCGUGGAUACGGGCGGGCUUGAGUUCGGUAGAGGCGGGCGGAACUGGCGGUGUAGCGGUGAAAUGCUUAGAUACCGCCAAGAACCCCGAUUGCGUAGGCAGCUCGCUGGGCCGAAACUGACGCUGAGGCACGAAAGCGUGGGGAGCGAACA
rnacentral:rRNA from 1 species